UAGAUGUGAGAACACCCAAGCUGUCUUGGAAAAGGGUCACAAGAUCCCAGCAACCUAUUGCAAGCUGGUGAAUGACUCAAGGAUAUGAUGGCAUAAACCAACAAAGCCCAGAGCUCUCCCCAAAGUCAUUAAACUGAUGUUAAAACUGGG